UCCAAUUGGCAAACUCUCCUCCAUUUUUACAACUUGAACACAAACUCCAUUUUUACAUUUUUGCUUUCCAUUUUUCUUAUAUUUUCCAUUUACUGAAUAGCCCCCACUAUGACAAAUUCCAAACCCAUGAAUUAAGUCAAUCAACAAAGCAGUGUGUAAAAUGUUGAAAGGAUAAGAACAGAUAAGGCUCCAAGUACAAGAGGAUCCCAAUAAUCUUAAUACAGUGGACUUCUAAAAGACUACCCUGUGUUAGGUGUCAACAAUAACAACAGUUGUAAGUUUUGAGAUGGCAAGUACACAAC